GGGGCCGUAGCUCAGUUGGGAGAGCGCUACGUUCGCAAUGUAGAGGUCAGGGGUUCGAUUCCCCUCGGCUCCACCA
rnacentral:tRNA from 4 species